rnacentral:rRNA from 1 species
UACGUAGGGAGCAAGCGUUGUCCGGAAUCAUUGGGCGUAAAGAGCUCGUAGGCGGUCUGUUGCGUCCGCUGUGAAAACCCGGGGCUUAACCCUGGGCUGGCAGUGGAUACGGACAGACUAGAGGUAGGUAGGGGAGAAUGGAAUUCCCGGUGUAGCGGUGAAAUGCGCAGAUAUCGGGAGGAACACCGGUGGCGAAGGCGGUUCUCUGGGCCUGACCUGACGCUGAGGAGCGAAAGCCGUGGGGAGCGAACAGG